rnacentral:rRNA from 1 species
GGUGAACGCUGGCGGCGUGUCUUAGGCAUGCAAGUCGAACGCAUCUUUACGAUGAGUGGCAGACGGGUGAGUAACGCGUUGGUAAUCCAAUCCAAAGUUUGGCAUAACUAUCCGAAAGGGUAGCUAAUACCAAAUGGUUAUGGGGGGUCGCAUGACAUUCCCAUAUAAAGCUACGGCGCUUUGGAAGGAGCCUACGUCCCAUCAGCUAGUUGGUAGGGUAAAAGCUUACCAAGGCAAUGACGGGUAGCUGGUCUGAGAGGAUGAUCAGCCACAUCGGGACUGAAACACUGCCCGAACUCCUAUGGGAGGCUGCAGUCGAGAAUCUUCCGCAAUGGGGGAAACCCUGACGGAGCGACGCCGCGUGACCGAUGACGCCUUUCGGGGUGUAAAGGUCUUUUAACUGGGAAAAAGUCUUCGGAUUGAUGGUACCAGUUGAAUAAGCCACGGCUAAUUUCGUG